UCCCAUCCCGACCACGGUAGUUAAGCUUCUCUGCGCCAAUGGUAGUUGGGGGCUUCCCCCUGCGAGAGUAGGUCGCUGCCGGGC
rnacentral:rRNA from 1 species